UACGGAGGGUGCAAGCGUUGUUCGGAAUUAUUGGGCGUAAAGCGCGCGCAGGCGGGUGGCUAAGUCUGAUGUGAAAUCCCUCGGCUCAACCGAGGACGUGCAUUGGAUACUGGCGAUCUUGAGUCCUGGAGAGGGGAGCGGAAUUCCCAGUGUAGAGGUGAAAUUCGUAGAUAUUGGGAGGAACACCAGUGGCGAAGGCGGCUUCCUGGACAGUGACUGACGCUGAGGCGCGAAAGCGUGGGUAGCAAACAGG
rnacentral:rRNA from 1 species